rnacentral:lncRNA from 1 species
AACUCUCUGUAGUGCUUCUCUGUGUGCUUCUGAAUUCAUGAGCAGAGACAACACUGAGAUCUUUGAAGGGGUUUGGAGAAACUGCUCCACCACAUUAAACUCACUUCAUUUAAUCAAUCGAAGUACCUCAUCAUCAUCGUUGGCCUUCACAUUGUUGGAUUUACCAGACUUACCCUAACAACUGAUUCCUCUUUAUCCUUUGGGAACACCGGCCCAAAC